AUUGAACGCUAGCGGGAUGCUUUACACAUGCAAGUCGAACGAGUGGCGGAGGGGUGUGUAAUAUAUCGGAACGUGCCCAGUAGCGGGGGAUAACUACUCGAAAGAGUGGCUAAUCCCACAUACUAUUGGGGCGGCCGCUCUCGGAUUAGCUAGUUGGGUGGGUAAAGGCUCACCAAGGCAACGAUCCAGAGCCGGUUUGAGAGGACGACCGGCCACACUGGGACUGAGACACGGCCCAGACGCCGACGGGAGGCAGCAGUGGGGAAUUUUGGACAAUGGGGGAAACCCUGAUCCAGCCAUCCCGCGUGUAUGAGAAGGCCUUCGGGUUGUAAAGUACUUUUGGCAGAGAAGCGGUAUCUGCAGAAUAAGCACCGGCUAACUACGUGCCAGCAGCCGCGGUAAUUC
rnacentral:rRNA from 1 species